AACUAGUGUCGAGAGUGCUAAGUUCCUCCCACAGUUUGCACAUUUUGGUAUAGUAACCAUUAACAUCGAGAUUAUCUUGAGCGAGUUCGUUGAUUUCAUGUUGCAAUUGAUACAAUUUAGCACCAUUGGCUUGAUCGUACCUGCCAGCCAAUUCAUCCCAAAGUUCCUUUGCAUUGUUGACAUACUGCAGACUGUCGGCAAGAUCUUUUAAGAGUGAAUCGAGAAGCCACAAAGUGACCGUGUCGUCACAUCAUUUCCACUGGGCAAACGCAACUGAAUCUAGAGAAGGCCUUGCAAUUUUCCCAUUGAUGAAGCCAGUCUUAUUCUUCACUGACAGAGCUCGAAGGAUUCCCCGUGUCCAUGAACGAUAACCUAUUCCAUAAAAAAGUGAGUGGAACAAUAGCAGAUCCGACGCUUUCAGAUGGAUGCAUAUAGAAGAUAUUGGAGGAUAUGCUUACAGCAGGGUCCUGAACUGGAAUUUGAAGAGCAGGUUCCUGAUCGAUAUUGGGUUCCAUGAUUGCCUGAGAUUGAGACGAAAUUGAGAGAAGAAUGAGUGCGGAAAGACGAGCGGAAGACGAAUCUUACAGGUAUGAUACCAUGUCAAAUUGAGGAGAAGUUGUGGAGAAUUUCAGUUCUCCAUUGAAGAAGCUUCGAGAAGAAAGAAGAAGGAAGAGAGAAGGGCAGAGCCCUGAGAUCGAUCAAGAGUAAUUGGGGAGAUGAAAAGUUGAUUUAUCUCAACUGCAACCUACAAUUUAUACAAGUGUGUUAUUCUCUUAUCACAAGAAAUUGUUGUAAAGUAAAG
rnacentral:lncRNA from 1 species